rnacentral:lncRNA from 1 species
GGAGAGGGCAAGGAGGUAAGCAGGAGUGAGAGCCGGGGAGCCGCGGGAAGCCUGAGAGAGGGGACAAGUUCUGGACAGUUUAGAGUGGAGGUGGCAGGCCCUAGGGCUGCUUGAAUAUGUAGGGAAGGAGGUGUUUGGAGAGCUGUCGUCUCCAGCUGGGGAGGCUGAGGAAGGUCUCCUGCUCCGUGCCAAGCCCGGUGCCUGGGCACCUACACAUCAUUGCCUCCAUUCUCUUAGGUAAUACAUAAUAUCCUUAUUUUUUUUUUCAACGUUUAUUUAUUUUUGGGACAGAGAGAGACAGAGCAUGAAUGGGGGAGGGGCAGAGAGAGAGGGAGACACAGAAUCGGAAACAGGCUCCAGGCUCCGGGCCAUCAGCCCAGAGCCUGACGCGGGGCUCGAACUCACGGACCGCGAGAUCGUGACCUGGCUGAAGUCGGACGCUUAACCGACUGCGCCACCCAGGCGCCCCCAUAAUAUCCUUAUUGAUUACUGUAUAAAUUUUAACUUUGGUUGCCAUGGCUAUUUAUAGUUAAAAUAUUGUAAGACCCUUUCUCUGUGAAGGGGGCAGAGCAAUCAGGGGAUGGGAUGGCUUAGAAGGAGGAGACCAUCUGAGCGUCUGCUACAUACAAGGUCCGAGAUAGGACAUUGCCACAGUGUGGCUCAUUUGAUGCUCUGCAGAGGAACCUGCAAAGGAGCUAGCGUAAGUCCCAUUUUUACAGAUGAGAAGGAGGCUGGGUGAGGGAAAUCACCUUGCCCACAGUCACAAACCAGAACCUAGAGGAGUGGAAAUGGAGCCCAGGCACCCGGAGGGAGCAUCUCAGUGUUUGGGGAAAGGGAAGGUAUUGUGUGUGUGUGGGGGGGGGGGGGGGGUGCACAAUGGCCAAGUGGAAUAAUGGGCGCUCUGAGGAUUGGUCCCCUUGCACUGCACAGUUCCCGCAAAUGGGGCUUGACCCUCACCCACAAAGGAUUUGGGGAAGGGGGAGCCUCGAGGAUGAAAGGGGUGAUCUCCAGUUCAGGUCUCAGAUAGGACAGCGAGCAGGCUCCUGUCCAGCAGAGAUGGAAUGGGAACAACAUAUGGAAACAAGAUAAUGGGACAAACAGGGUGAUGAUGAAGAAGCCUUUUAGGGAUGCUCAGCUCUUUUUAGGAAGCCUUUGCAUCACUCUGGCUGGAUUCUUAAGAUUUGUAGCUCAGGAAUUUCAUGAUUUUUAUACUGCACAUGUUUUCUGUGGUCUCAUCUCCCCAACUCUACAUGGUUUUGUUUGUUUGUUUGUUUUUGUUUUUUAGUAAGUCCUUUUAAAAAGGCUGACCUUGGGGCGCCUGGGUGGCGCAGUCGGUUAAGCAUCCGACUUCAGCCAGGUCACGAUCUCGCGGUCCGUGAGUUCGAGCCCCGCGUCAGGCUCUGGGCUGAUGGCCCGGAGCCUGGAGCCUGUUUCCGAUUCUGUGUCUCCCUCUCUCUCUGCCCCUCCCCCAUUCAUGCUCUGUCUCUCUCUGUCCCAAAAAUAAAUAAAAACUUUGAAAAAAAAAUUAAAAAAAAAAUAAAAAUAAAAUAAAAAAAAUAAAUAAAAAAAAAUAAAAAGGCUGACCUUGUUGGAGGAUUUGAUGUUUAAGUUUAACCAGGAGGUAGAUAAUAAGAUCUUGGUCCAGCCAAUUUCCCCCACCCCUGAACCUCAAGUCCCCAUAUAUGCUGCUUCUUGGGUCUCUGGGCAUGUCCCACAUGUGCCUCAAAUGGACAUGUCCUUGCUGACUUCAUUCAGCCACCUGCUCUUCCUCUGGGCCCCUUGGUGCUACCAUCCACCCUGUUGCUCUUCCAGAAACCUCCUCUGUGUGCCCUCAUAUAAUUGAUCCCCAUCCUGUUGACGUGAGUCACUAAAUCUGUCUCCAAUACAUCUCUGCAUCCCCAGCCCACAACCCUAAUGGAGACCACCAUGAUUUUUUUUCUCACCUGGGUUUCUGCAACAGCCUUCCAGCUGGUUUCUCUGCCUCCAUGCUGGGACUCUAAUACAUCCCCCAUACCGCAGCCAGCACUGAGCAAGAUGUGGUCCCUGUCCACAGCACAGUAGAUGGGACAAAUCUACUAAAUCUACUAAUGAUGUGAUUGGCAGGUUCAGUCUCGAGAGACCAUCAAAGGCUUCCUGGGGUGUCACCCGAGUUUAGCCAGGAAGGAUGAGUGGGAGUGAAAUGGCAAGAAGGCAGGAAAUGCUUCUGCCGAAGCUGUGCUGUUUCAGAACUUUCCUUUAGCUGUCAGGCCCCUGGUGACACAUACACCCCAAGUCCUUUCCUCUGCUGGAUUCUGUCUCAAUUUACAAAUUAAUGUCUACUGAGUUUGCCCCACUGCCACUCAUCCCUUCCACCAGGCUCCCCUCGGGUCAGAUUUCUUCCACCCUGGUCUAAAUUUCUGAAUCUAGUUCUCUAGUGGGAGGAAUGACAACCAAUCGAAUGGGAAUUUCAAGUAUAUGUCCCCAGGAGGCAGAAGCCUCCAUGCCUGCCCUCAUGAAAUGGGCAGAACUGAUCGCAUUUACACCUACCUUAGAGACCCCACAUCCCCGUCACAUGCACACACUAUUCCCUGUGUGUAGUGAUGAGUGCUGCUGACCAAAUACUUUGGCUUCUGCUUCUAGGCACAUGGCAGCAUUGUACCUACUGCACUUCCCCAACCCCUCAUGACUUGCUUUGGCCCGUGAAAUGAGAGCAGAAGUGACUUGUAUUACUUCCGGAUGAACACUUGGAGAAUUAGUGCUUGAUUUGCCCCGUCCUCGCUUCCUGCCUUCAGGGUCGAGGAGGCAGCAUGUCCAGCUCCAGCUGCCUGCGUCCCUGGGUGGCUGUGGGAAACAGAGCUCCUCUUGACCCACAGUGGACACAUUUCAUGAUCGAGGAAUAAACUUUUAU